CCUACGGGAGGCAGCAGUGGGGAAUUUUGGACAAUGGGGGCAACCCUGAUCCAGCCAUUCCGCGUGAGUGAAGAAGGCCUUCGGGUUGUAAAGCUCUUUCGCAAGGGAAGAAAACUUAUGAUCGAAUAAAUCAUGAGGUUGACGGUACCUUGAUAAGAAGCACCGGCUAACUACGUGCCAGCAGCCGCGGUAAUACGUAGGGUGCGAGCGUUAAUCGGAAUUACUGGGCGUAAAGCGUGCGCAGGCGGUUUUGUAAGUCGGAUGUGAAAUCCCCGGGCUCAACCUGGGAACUGCGUUCGAAACUGCAAGGCUGGAGUGUGUCAGAGGGGGGUAGAAUUCCACGUGUAGCAGUGAAAUGCGUAGAGAUGUGGAGGAAUACCAAUGGCGAAGGCAGCCCCCUGGGAUAACACUGACGCUCAUGCACGAAAGCGUGGGGAGCAAACAGGAUUAGAUACCCUGGUAGUCCACGCCCUAAACGAUGUCAACUAGUUGUUGGUAGAGUAAAAUCUAUGAGUAACGUAGCUAACGCGUGAAGUUGACCGCCUGGGGGAGGUACGGUCGCGAGAUAAACUACAAUAGAGUAGUAGCGUGAGACGUGCCGACGGACGACGACGAGGGAGGAGGG
rnacentral:rRNA from 1 species